rnacentral:lncRNA from 1 species
UCCGAUCUGCUGUAAGAAGUACUAUGCUGUCCAUUUGUUCCAGGACCUUAUCCUCUGCAGGUUUAAUGCGCGUCCGUGUGAAGAGACCUGUCAAUAGGUUUUGGGGCCAACAGGUGGUGUUUGGUUAUAUCACAUUCCAGAAUUCCUUCCUCUGAGAGCGGGACAGGAUCCUCUCUAGAAUGUUGAUCUUAUGACCUACAGUCAAACAAGGAAAAUGGGAAUCCACUUGAACUGUGAAGGAUACCCAAGAUCACAGGGAGGAGAACCCCAGCAAACAGCUCCUGUGAUGGUGUCUGGGUGAUAAAAGAUGACCGAGCAAGACGGCCCUUAUCAGAUGUAGACCCUCAGUCUUGGACUUCUCAGCCUCCAGAAUUAUGAGCCAAAUAAAUUUAUUUUCAUUAUAAAUUA